rnacentral:rRNA from 1 species
UACGAAGGGGGCUAGCGUUGUUCGGAAUUACUGGGCGUAAAGCGCACGUAGGCGGACUAUUAAGUCAGGGGGGAAAUCCCGGGGCUCAACUCCAGAACUGCCUUUGAUACUGAGGAUCUUGAGUUCGGGAGAGGUGAGUGGAACUGCCAGUGUAGAGGUGAAAUUCGUAGAUAUUCGGAAGAACACCAGUGGCGAAGGCGGCUCACUGGUCCGGUACUGACGCUGAGGUGCGAAAGCGUGGGGAGCAAACAGG